rnacentral:rRNA from 1 species
UACGUAGGCAGCAAGCGUUGUUCGGAGUUACUGGGCGUAAAGGGUGCGUAGGUGGCUCUAUAAGUAUGGUGUGAAAUCUCCCGGCUUAACUGGGAGGGUGCGCCGUAGACUGUGGGGCUAGAGUGUGGGAGAGGAAAGUGGAAUUCCUGGUGUAGCGGUGAAAUGCGUAGAUAUCGGGAGGAACACCUGUGGCGAAAGCGGCUCACUGGACCAUUACUGACGCUGAGGCACGAAAGCUAGGGGAGCAAACAGG